rnacentral:rRNA from 1 species
GAUGAACGCUAGCGGCAGGCCUAAUACAUGCAAGUCGAACGGAUACCUUCGGGUAUUAGUGGCGUACGGGUGCGUAACGCGUAAACAAUCUACCUCAUACUGGGGGAUAGCCCUGGGAAACCGGGAGUAAGCCCGCAUGGUACCACCGGAUUUCAUGGUUUGGUGGUUAAAGAUUUAUUGGUAUGAGAUGAGUUUGCGUC